ACUCAAAUGAAUUGACGGGGACUCGCACAAGCGGUGGAUCAUGUGGCUUAAUUCGUAGCUAAGCGAAGAACCUUACCCAGGCUAGAAACCAUACUGCACGCCUCCAGAAACGGAGGAAGCCUUCGAGGGUGUAUGGCAGGUGAUGCAUGGUUGUCGUCAGUUCGUGGCUUGAGCUGUUCCCUUCAGUGGGGUAACGAACGCAACCCUCGUUGUCUGUUACUUAUGUCAGGCGAGACUGCCCCCUCACGGGGGAGGAAGGUGAGGAUGACGCCAAAUCAGCAUGUCCCUUGAUGCCUGGGGCUGCACACGUGAUACAAUGGUCGGUACAGAAGGAAGCAAUACCGCAAGGUGGAGCAAAUCCCAAAAACCGACCCCAGUACGGAUUGAGGUCUGCAACCGACCUCAUGAAGCCGGAAUCGCUAGUAAUCGUGGGUCAGCCAUACCACGGUGAAUACGUUCUCGAGUCUUGUACACACCGCCCGU
rnacentral:rRNA from 1 species